GAAUUAGAAGAUGCAAGUGUACCUGAUGGAGAGGUAAACAGUGCUGAAGUAGAGAAUUUGAGCCUCAGAAUAAGAGAGCUGGAAGAGUCAGAGUUAAAACUGAAAAAUGUGUUAGAGGACUACGUGGAAUCAGAUUCUACACUAAGAAAUAGGGUGAAAGAGCUGGAACUGUCAAACAAAACACUUCUGGCGACGACUGACCAAUUAAAUGCGAAGGUGCACCAGGCUGAAAAUGCAAAUGUGCGGGUUAAAGGGAGACUGCAAGACAUUCAGGAGGAGCUGGUGAACUUAGUUGAAAUCCAAGAAAAGGCAGAGAAGAAGCAAAAGCAAAAAUUACAUUGGCUUCAGGAGCAGCUGAAGACAAAAGAAGAUGAAGUAAAAAGCCAGUCAGAGUAUUUUGAGCACUACAAACAGAGGCAGAAGCAACAGACAGCAAUGCUGAGAGAAAAGGAAUGUUGUCUCCGGGGUAAGGUGUCUAGGCUGGAAAAGCAAGUCCUAGAUCUCAGCGCUCAUAUUGCUCUUCUGACAUCCAAGUCAGAAGAGGGAAUGGUACAGGAUCUCCAACAGAAGCUGGAAUCAGCUUUCCCUGGGACUUACUCUGACAGGGAGGUAAUGAAAUUGAAAACUCUCAUUGAAAUUGUGGAGCAUGACGUGAAAAGCCACCUUGAGACAUUGCAGCAUAAUGUGAAGCUCUUAAGGGAAAAAGAGGAAGACUGUAGAAGAGAACAGGCAGACUUGCUGACUCAACUCCAGUGCUCCCAGGACUCUGAAGACUUUCUCAGAAGGAAAUUGGAGGAAUCUUGCCAACAUGUUUGUAAUCUGAAACUAUCUGAAAUCAAACUACAGGAACAAGUCGAAGAGCUUUUGGAUGAAAAUAGGGCUUUAAAGGACCAAGGGGACAUGAAGUUAAAAAAGGAAGAUGAAGAAGAGUCAUGCCUUACAAGACUGGAAAAUGGAGACAACAUUGCAGUCAGUGUAGACCUGAAUGGAGAGCUAGUCCAGGCUGACCUUCAGAACCUGAGAUGGGGACCAGUCUUGGAUCCWCUUAGAAGCAAAGCUACUCCAAGUCCAACUGUGCUACUACAUGCUAAAGAGUCUGAAACAUCAGGAUGUGGUUGUGAUUGGCUUGAGCACAUGGAGAAGCUAUCGAAAGAACUUCGACCAGUUUUGGAAUGCAAUUUCAGUGCCUCUGCAGAUAUUACUGAAGAACUGAGUCUAACUGAGACUGAGCAGAUCAGCCUUAGAGAUAAAAGGGCAGGUGCUCUGGAAGAUACCUUCAUUCUGUUUAGACAUAUCCCAAGCUACCCUACAGACAGACUGCCUCCUCCUUGCUCUGAGAAGCUAACUAAUGAUGAGACAAGUAAGGACACCAGAGAUGAAGAACACUCCUCUCUCUUUAAGGAAAAAGCUAUAAGUCUACCAGCAGCGGCUUUGCCUGUUUCCGUGGUGGAAGCUUUGAUGAGGAACAACCACAUACCAACUGUCACAACAAUGAAGAAAGUGAUGAGCCUGAAUUUCAGUGAGGCAAAUACCACUUUUUGCCCUGAUGGCCUUUUCCAUGUUUCAGAAAGAGGCUUUUCUGAUAAGGCUUCUGCAGUUCUUUGUGGAAAGACGCCUUGCACUGCUUUCACAUUCCUGCUGGAAAAAGAUGAUGUGGAAAGGCAUCAGCAAAAUAAGCAAAUUCCGCCAAAAAGCAGAAGUGAAAAUAAAAAUCUGGGUAAAGAUGUUAAUGAUGGAAAGUAUCAACAAAAAAUCUGUAGAGGGAGAGCUAAAGAAGAAGAAAUGAAGAAUGAGAAAGCCCGGCCACAAAAGAUGGCCUGUGCUCUUGAGGAAAUAAGCAAAGUUUUAAAUAAAACUGAACUGAUCAGGCCCGGCAAACAAGGAAUGAAUUCCAAAGCCAAUCUAGGUGGCCCACAAGGUGUCCAAAACACAGGUGCUGGUUUUAAAGACCUAAAGAAGCAUUCUGAAGGGAGUUCUGAGUUAAUGGAGAACCAAGGAAACCUCUCAGAAAUCUGCAUCCCUGAUGAAGUGAGUAGGGUGUACAGUGGAGGAGAUAUAAUCAGAACAGAAGAGAAAGGAGAACAACCUCAGAAACCAAGUGAACAAAUAAACCCCUCCAGAAAUGGACUGGAAGAAAAGAAGGAACAGGCCCUAAGGCUAUGUGGCCCAAAAGAGGAGAAUUCCUCCUGUCAAAAAAUGGCUGCUGAAAGAAUGCAACGUGCAUACCCUCAGAAAGCUUCUCGCUUGGAGGAAGAGAAGUAUCCACUGAACAUUUCCUCCCCUAUGCAAGAGAAAGUGUUCUUAAAGAAAGUGUUAUUGCUAGAGAGCAAUUUUUAUGAGUAUUUCUGUCAUGUAUCGUCACUGGAAGCUGAUGAUGAAUGUAAUGUGAAAAUACGUGAACUAGAGAAAGUGGUGGCUGUGUGUUCUCAGAGGAUAUUUCUACUGAUGCAAGAGAAUGAAAAAUAUUCARAA
ensembl:lncRNA